rnacentral:rRNA from 1 species
GACGUAGGGCGCGAGCGUUGUCCGGAUUUAUUGGGCGUAAAGAGCUCGUAGGCGGCUUGUCGCGUCGACUGUGAAAACCCGCGGCUCAACCGCGGGCCUGCAUGCCGAUACGGGCAGGCUAGAGUUCGGUAGGGGAGACUUGGAAUUCCUGGUGUAGCGGUGGAAUGCGCAGAUAUCAGGAGGAACACCAGUAGCGGAAGGCAGGUCUCUGGGCCGAUACUGACGCUGAGGAGCGAAAGCGUGGGGAGCGAACAGG